AGCAACCUGCCCUUCAAGUGGACCACAGCUUGAAAUAGGCACCAGAACAAGACAGCAGACCUUGUGCAAUGCACUCUCCCACGGGCCUCCCAUUCCAAUUUCCCCUUUUUAAGCCUUUCUCCCCAGCCUAAAGUUUUAAGAGGUUUCUGGAGGCGUAAGGUAAGCAGCCUGCUUCCCUGCUGCUAGCUUUGGAAACAAAGUAACUUUCCUUUCACUACAGACUUCCUCCUUGUUACUGACUUUGCAAGCGGAUUCUAUUUAUGUUUAAUGAACAAAAAAAUUAGUUUCAAUGAAAACUUUAUUUGAAAUGAUGAAUUCAAGCUGUUACCAGCCUCCCAAGUAAGAUGCCAGAGACUUCAAACACUGCUGUUGUUUCUCAAGGAAAAGAUCCAGUUAACAAGGAAUCAUUCUCUCUUCUUCAAUAGCUGCUUACGAAAUAAAAACAUCAGUAGGAGGGGAAGGAGGAAGGAAGGAGAAGAAAGAGGAAGAAUAGGAGGAGAAGAGGAAGAGAGGAAGAAGUCGUGAACAGCCCUCCUGCAUUUUGCAUCAGGUAGAAAAGUCAGUUGAAUGUUGGGAAGAACACAAAUACUCACACAUUCCUCCCCAUUCUCUGAAUUCCCACAAAGACUGUUAUUGCUGGGGCUCAUAAAAUUAUACCCCAAAGUAUGAUGCUUUGGCAUCCAGAGUGCUUUGAACUAUAGGAGAUUGAAGGCCCCAGAAGCCAAGUUUCCCUCUGACCUUCUCCUGCCUUCCUGUCUUCCACCCCCUGCUUUUCCCCUGAAGUGAGUCCUGGAAGCCAGAAUUCUUCUUGCCCAAAGCAAGCCGUGACACCCUGGAAAUAUCACUCUAACCUUCCUUGCCUUUCCGUGUGGCAGCUGGCCAUGAAGAAAUUCUCUGACCUACCUUGUUUGAUAGCAGAUCACAAGACCCUGGUUCCAGAGCGGUCCUGCUUUACACCGAGGGAAAGGAAUGUCAUACAGAAAGGCCAAGAAGAAUCUGAAGAGAUGUCCAAUCACCUUUUCACGUGGCUGCCCAUUCUUCAUUGAACCUAAGCAUUAAAAUAGACAGUUUCCCCUGGGUCUUUGGGUCUUCAUUUCUGAAGACUCCAUGUCAUGUAAAACUUUGAUUAAAUAAAUGUAUCAUGC
rnacentral:lncRNA from 1 species